rnacentral:misc_RNA from 1 species
GAUCAUCAAUCCCAAUGGGCUGCUGCUUUCUGUUGGGGGCACUGAAAGAAAUGCCAUUGGUUGGAGGAGCACUUGGUGGCUUGUUCCUGGAAUGCUCUCUGUUUAUGACAGAAUUUGAAGGCAGUACCUUCUCAUCAAAGGUAUUAUCUUUCUUAGUCAGAUGAAUUCCCAGCUUUAUCACAGGUUUAGAUAGUUCACAAGGCUUCAGAGCAUUUGUUUGUGAAAGUUUCGUGCCUUGCACAGACUUUUCAACCCCAUCAAAUGCCUUCGUAACAGUUGAAGUUUCACUAGAUGCAGUAGACACCGGAGGUUGUGUAGGGUUGUUAGAAACAAAGCUUGGUGCAUGCAUGAAUCCACACUUAUCACCUUUUCGACAAAUCCCUUGCUGGAAAAAUAUGCAGGGUACAUCUUGUUUACUAGAAGCAUAUGGAACCUGUGGCAUAGGCGCAACAGAUACCUUAUAAGCUGCAGAAAAUCCCAUAGCAGUUGGGGCUUGAGCUUCCAAAAUCCCAUCAAGAGGAGGGUGUCGGAAUGCACACUUUGGGUUUAAGCAGUUUCCAUUCAACCAGUACCAGCAAUCCCUUGGAUUAAGCCUAGCCAUGUCACUAUGGCGGUACUCGCACUCACUUCCCUUUUUGCAUGUGAGAGGAGACGCAAGAAAAUAAACGCAAUCGGUGUUACUCUUCACAGCUUCUUCUUCAGCUGAUAAUUGAACCGGUGCCGGUGGUGGUGCCGAAGCCGGCACCGGAACCUCAGUCGACG